GACGAACGCUGGCGGCGUGCCUAAUACAUGCAAGUCGAGCGGACCUCUUCGGAGGUCAGCGGCGGACGGGUGAGCAACACGUGGGCAACCUGCCUGUAAGACUGGGAUAACACCGGGAAACCGGUGCUAAUACCGGAUAAUCCUUCUCCUCUCAUGAGGGGAAGCUGAAAGACGGUUUCGGCUGUCACUUACAGAUGGGCCCGCGGCGCAUUAGCUAGUUGGUGGGGUAACGGCCCACCAAGGCGACGAUGCGUAGCCGACCUGAGAGGGUGAUCGGCCACACUGGGACUGAGGCACGGCCCAGACUCCUACGGGAGGCAGCAGUAGGGAAUCUUCCGCAAUGGACGAAAGUCUGACGGAGCAACGCCGCGUGAGCGAAGAAGGCCUUCGGGUCGUAAAGCUCUGUUGUCAGGGAAGAACACGUACCGGAGUAACUGCCGGUACCUUGACGGUACCUGACCAGAAAGCCACGGCUAACUACGUGCCAGCCGCCGCGGUAAUAC
rnacentral:rRNA from 1 species